CAGCCGCCACGGUAAUACGUAGGGGGCAAGCGUUAUCCGGAAUUACUGGGUGUAAAGGGAGCGUAGACGGUUAAACAAGUCUGAAGUGAAAUGCCGGGGCUCAACCCCGGAGCUGCUUUGGGAACUGUAGAACUGGAGUGUCGGAGGGGUAAGCGGAAUUCCCAGUGUAGCGGUGAAAUGCGUAGAUAUUGGGAGGAACACCGGCGGCGAAGGCGGCUUACUGGACGACAACUGGCGUUGAGGCUCGAAGGCGUGGGUAGCAAACAGGAUUAGAGACCCCUGUAGUCCCUGUCUCUUAUAC
rnacentral:rRNA from 1 species